CCCACACGACAAUUCACCUACGUUUAUGUUUAUUUCAAGUCUCUCAAUACAUAUUCACAACAUAGCCUAACUCUUAUUAAUUCACAUAUCCCAAAAAUAACCAUUUCAAUAAUGAAUGAAAUAAGAAAAUCAUUUGGAUCCAACUAUUCAAAAAAUUACUUUACAGACGAAGCACAUAAUGAUAAAUGCCAAAUUGCCAACCCAUGCUGCUAUUAU
rnacentral:misc_RNA from 1 species